UACGUAGGGUGCAGGCGUUAAUCGGAAUUACUGGGCGUAAAGCGUGCGCAGGCGGUUUGCUAAGACAGGUGUGAAAUCCCCGGGCUUAACCUGGGAACUGCGCUUGUUACUGGCAGGCUUGAGUGUGGCAGAGGGGGGGUGGAAUUCCACGUGUAGCAGUGAAAUGCGCAGAUAUCGGGAGGAACACCAAUGGCGAAGGCAGCUCGCUGGGACGGUACUGACGCGUGAGACGCGAAAGCGUGGGGAGCAAACAGG
rnacentral:rRNA from 1 species